rnacentral:lncRNA from 1 species
UUCUUCCUCCAAGUUUCAACUUCUCCAAAAAUUUUAUUACCCCAUUCCGAACCCAAAUCACUUCUUGUCGUUGCCGCCCCCCGCCCGUCUUAGCAUUCCGUUCAGCGGCUAAGCCUCAUUUGGGUGCUUUUGUUUUCACUUUUCUCCAUCCAUCCACAACUUUUUAUAGAUUGUAAGUUUGCAAUUCUAUUUUUGUAAGAUUUUUUUUAUUUCUAUUUCUUGAGUUCUUUUAAGUUUUAAUCAGUGAUGAUUGAUUUCAUAUUAGACAAGAGUUUUGAUUUUACUUUGAUAUUCUAAAUUUCUAAUGAACAUUGUAAGACAUUAUUGGUUAAAAAUUGUGUGAUAUGAAUCAUGUUAAUUUGAAUUAACUAUGCCUUACCCUAUUAAAUUUGAAUUAAUUGUGAGUUGAAUUGAAUUUUAAUUUUUGUAGGAAAGUGUUCUAGUUUUGUGAAUUGAGAUGGAGAAGUUUCUUGUGAAAUUUAAC